UCCCCGGUAGCGUAAUGGUAACGCAGCUCCCUGUUAAGGAGUUGAUUGUAGGUUCGAAUCCUACCCGGGGAG
rnacentral:tRNA from 1 species